CUCCAGGGAGNCUNCCGNUGAUAAACCGGAGGAAGGUGGGGACGACGUCAAGUCAUCAUGGCCCUUACGAGUAGGGCUACACACGUGCUACAAUGGCGUAUACAGAGGGCUGCCAACUCGCGAGAGUGAGCGAAUCCCAGAAAGUACGUCGUAGUCCGGAUUGGAGUCUGCAACUCGACUCCAUGAAGUCGGAAUCGCUAGUAAUCGUGGAUCAGAAUGCCACGGUGAAUACGUUCCCGGGCCUUGUACACACCGCCCGUCACACCAUGGGAGUGGGCUGCACCAGAAGUAGAUAGCUAAC
rnacentral:rRNA from 1 species